UACGUAGGGUGCAAGCGUUUGUCCGGAAUUAUUGGGCGUAAAGAGCUCGUAGGCGGUUUGUUGCGUCGGCUGUGAAAUCCCGAGGCUCAACCUCGGGUCUGCAGUCGAUACGAGCAAACUAGAGUGUUGCAGGGGAGACUGGAAUUCCUGGUGUAGCGGUGAAAUGCGCAGAUAUCAGGAGGAACACCGAUGGCGAAGGCGGGUCUCUGGGCAACAACUGACGCUGAGGAGCGAAAGCGUGGGGAGCGAACAGG
rnacentral:rRNA from 1 species